AUGGGAGAAAAGCUGAGAAGCCCAACAGAAAGGGGAAGAAACCUGCAACCAAGAAUCCUGGAGGCUUCUCUGGUGCUGCUGCCACUAAUGCCACUGCAGGCGAUGCCACUGACCCUGGUGCAGCCAAGAAGGGUGACCCUAAGAUUUAAAAGCUCUAGAAGGGGAAGCCCCAUUGCAGCCAAAACCCUGUCCUGGGUAAAGGAAUUAAUGCCCUGUACAAAAGGAAAUACUCAGUUGCAAAGCCAAAGGUUAAAAAAAGAAGAAAAGGAAGAAGGACCAGUUAGUGGUGACAAGAAUGGUGGUACCCGAGUAAGGACGCUUGGGAAAAUGCCUAGGUAUUACCCUACAGAAGACGUACCUAGGAAGCUACUGAGCCAAGGCAAAAGGCCUCUCAGUCAGCAGAAGGCUGUAUGCCAGCAUCACACCAUCCUGAACAUCUUCACCGGGGCCACAAGAGGCUAGAGAGUGGUUUUCCACAGUGGGUUUCGCAGCUAGACAGAGGCUUGCUCUAGACCUCUUGCCCUCAACCGAGUUCCUUUGCAUAGAACACACCAAAAGUUUGUCAUCGCCACCUCUGCAAAAGUUAUCAGCAAAGUUAAUAUCCUCAAACACAUGACUAAUGCGUACUUCAUGAAGAAGUGGCUGCACAAGCCCAGGCACAAGGAGGACAAGAUCUUGGACGUGGAGAAAAAGAAAUAUGAAAUUACAGGGCAUCGCAAAUCAAAGAUUUUGCCAAACAUCAAAGCUGUUUCUCAGCCCCAUGGCUACCUGCGAUCUCAGUACUCCCUGACACACCGGAUGUAUCCUCACAAACUAGAGUUCUAA
rnacentral:lncRNA from 1 species